GGACGAGGUCGGAAGGUUCAGAGUGGAGUACAAGCACCACGACGCAGGGGAAAGAAACAGGGGUCUAUACUGUCUGCUUCUGGGAGUUUAGCAGCUCCUGAUCCAAGUACAAAUGAACAAUCACAGACUAUAUCUGUUAAUCCAUUGCUUAGUGCAACAAGUGGAACCAUUUCUAGUGUUCCUGUUGCUCAUUGUCAUAGUAAUUUACCUGGCUCUGCUGCUGUAGAAGUUAUUAGUGGACCCAAUUAUUAUGUACCAGGGAUUGCUUUGGAUUCUAAGUCAGCUCCUCCUAUCUCUUCUAUCGCUCCUGCCGCUGAAUGCCUCCCUCCUGGCCCUUCAGCUCCUAUAAAAGGGCCAAGCAGCAAUGCUCAAACUGGAGCCGGAACACCACGGCGUAGAGGGAGGAAACAAGCACCAUUAUCAUCUGCUGUUUCAGAUGCUUUUCUCAGUCAGUUUUCCAUAUCAGAUCAAGUCUCGAAGAAUAAAUCUGAGGAAUCAGGAAGUAAAGCCAUUGUCCUGACAAGUAACCAAAAGAGUUAUGAUUGUGAACCUAGAGAUGUUAACCAGGAGCAAGCAACCAGAGUAGCUGGUCAGGAUAAAAAAUCAGCAGAACAUUUGGAUGAUGCAACCCGAAAUCAGCA
rnacentral:misc_RNA from 1 species